rnacentral:rRNA from 1 species
GGGGGGGCAGGCGUUGUUCGGAAUUACUGGGCGUAAAGGGCGCGUAGGCUGUCCCGCAAGUCUUUCGUGAAAUCCCACAGCUCAACUGUGGAAUUGCGAGAGAAACUGCAGGACUUGAGUUCGGGAGAGGAGAGUGGAAUUCCCAGUGUAGCGGUGAAAUGCGUAGAUAUUGGGAGGAACACCGGUGGCGAAGGCGGCUCUCUGGACCGACACUGACGCUGAGGCGCGAAAGCUAGGGGAGCAAACGGGGGAUUAGAUACCCCGGUAGUCCUAGCCCUAAACGAUGAGCACUUGGUGUGGCGGGUAUCGACCCCCUGCCGUGCCGAAGCUAACGCAUUAAGUGCUCCGCCUGGGGAGUACGGUCGCAAGGCUG